ensembl:lncRNA
ACUCAAGGACAGCUACUGUGAAUUAAUGAAGAAGAAUACUGAUCAGCUUCUCAUGUAUAAAUCAUCCUGAAAACUGAUGGCACUUACCACUUACUACUGGUAAAGGAAUAUUAGGUCCAUAGUAUUUUAUAUGUGACAUUUGUAAUAUGUCAUGACAGCAAAAUUGUAUUCACAAAUUAUAUCUUCCCUGGAGAAGUCAAAAAAUAACUUUGCAAUGAGAAUUAUGAAUCCUGCUUGUUUAAUAACGUCACGAGCUCUUCUCAGUACACAGCAGAUAUCAUAUUGAGGCUUGAGCAAAUUCUGCAGUAAAACCGGGGAAAUGCUACAAUACAAUGAAAAAUCAAAGCUAAUCAUUGUGCUGCAUAAUAGUUGGCAUCAAAGCCAUUCCUGUAUCCUGCCAGCGUUUCUUUCCUCUUUCAUUGUCUCUCUUUCAGAUUUGUGAACUUUUUCUUCUUCUUCUUCUUCUUUUUUUUUUUUUCUUUCAGCUUCUUCUUCUGAUACAAACUGGUGGUGGGGAUUUAUAUGAAUUAACUUUUUAAAUAACUUUCCUCAUAUCUGCUGUUUGCCCUCCCAGUGUUUGCACUUGGCAGGUGGGUUUGUGUAUCCAGGAUAUCACAUAAUUCCAUUCAGAUUCAACUGGAGCUGAAACUUCUGUCUUUUCUAAGCUUUUUCUUCUAUGGAGGAAUCUGGAAAGGCAUUUGGCAUUUACAAAGGAAUCAAACAAACAAAAAAAAGGACCCCCAAAACAGAAGAAAAUUGCUCUAACUUUUCCUAGUAGGAAAGACAUUCAUGGUGAUAUAGUGAAAAAGUGCUAUUAAUUCAAACUUUUAAAAAAACUGAAGAAGUGCUUCCUGUUGAUUAGUUCCUUUGAAGAAAUUCAGUUACAUCUAUAUUGCUUUGUUCUGAAGCAUUUAUGAAGAGUUUAAAUUCUGUCUGUGGGUUUUAAAGGCAUUUAGUUGCCAGUGGAAGAAAAAAUGUUUUCAGUCUGACAAACCAGUCCAAUUGAAUUGAUUAUACAAAAUUAAGAACGUCUGUUUGAAACACGUACACUCGUGCACUUAAAAGUGCUUUCGAC